UGCUCUUCACGGUUCACGGCUUGCCUGCCUGUCUGCCCUUGCAGUGCUCAGGAAUGAGCCGCAUUGGGGGCUCGUGCCUGUAACCCUAGCUGCUCUGCAACCUGAGACAGGAUCACCGUUCACAGCCAGUGUGGAGCCGGUUCGAAGCCAGCUUGAGCAGGAAUUGGUGACGGAAAUGACCGGCCCAUUAGUCACCUCCCGCGCUGCCAGACAUCUCCUUCCCAGACGGCCGAGCGGUGACGCGCCACCACUGCCCAACCUGCAGUGCGAGCUCUCCAAGUUGUCACAGGAAAGAGCUAGAGGACAGGUCAAGGCCAAGACCAAGACCGUACACGGGAAAGCCUGGGACGCCAGGCAGGCCUCACCUGGCACGCCUGCUGGCAGGUGCGAGACGCGUUUCACAUCGCAGGCGUCUACUGUGAAAAGGGCAUGCCUGUCCCUUGGCUGGCUGAGGGGCUGCUGGACCAGCCGUGGCCUCACCGCUACCAUAGUCCUCGGGAGGAAGGAACCUGCGCCGGAGCCCUAGAAGAGAGCGCGGAGCAGCAGGCGAGAGGCUGGAGGCUGCUGGGUCAAAGUUCUGCCGGCCUCAGCUUCCCUCUGCUCCCCCAGGACAGCUCCGCUGCAGAGGGCAUCAUGGCUCAGUGGAAGGGGAAGGCCAACCCACUCAGGACCGCUGACUUUUCCAGCCUGAAGGUGGAGCUCUGAAGGCCGCAGAGGAGAGUCCCACGGGUCAUCCAACCCCUCUCCCAGGGUAGGAAGGAGAAGAGAUAAGGUGGGAAGUGGUGAGGGCGGUCUCUAGCUUCCCAGUUCCAGCGCGGUUACAGAGCCUUGAGGGGUAGGCUGCAGACGCAUUCAAGGGGCUCGCGGAGAGGAGGCCUCGCAUGGUGAGAGUUUAGCACAGGUUUAUAAAGAGCAAAGGAGGAAGCCAUGAGCGAACAGUACAGAUGUGGGAGCAGAGACACUCAGACCUGGAGGGUUGGACAUGGCUCUACCCUUUCCGAGCAGAGUGUUAGGAAAAUGGAGGAGAAAGGAAGGAAAUGGGCUGGACUGGAUCCUCCUCAGGUGAGGCCUGUUUACCGAGAUAGCCCAGCAAGGAGGCAGGCUUCCCGCUUCCCACCACGGGCUUGGAGACUAUGCAAAGACUGGGCUAGGAGUUGGGUGUUUAUCCCGGUCUGAGCAAGGAGACAGGGGUCACAGGAGUUUAGAAUAAAGAGGGGAGGUGGCUGCAGGUGCAGGCAGAGAAUAGGCUAAGUAUUCCCUUAUCCAGGGCCUCAAGCUUUUUUAAUGUUCAAACAGCUCUACGUCUGUCUGGCCUGGACGGUUGGACCUUGGCAGGCUACAGUUCUGUCUUCCAAGCUCUUAACCGUUUCCUGGCCUCCCAGCCAGGGUCUUUCAGGCCAGGCCCACCCCAGGCUCAGGUGAUCGGAUUGCCCGCCUGUGUCGGGCAGCCUGUGCCUGUCUUUGGUGGCUUUCCUGACGUCUGUGUGCACCUGGGAACACAGCGUGGGGGUCAACCUGUCAUAGUCCAUCUUUGGAUGCCCAGAACAGGCCGAGGGCGGGGAGGCAGGCCCUUCGAGGAGGAAUGCCACCCCAAUUAUUCCGCAGUGUGUCAGCCCAAAUCUGCCCAAGAUAUGUCUCAUUACUAUCCCAAAGCAAGGAGAUGUGACCUAGGUUUAUCCAAAACACAGCAUCAAUAGAUGUGAGU